rnacentral:rRNA from 1 species
AGAAGUUUGAUCCUGGCUCAGAUUGAACGCUGGCGGCAUGCCUUACACAUGCAAGUCGAACGGCAGCACGGGGGCAACCCUGGUGGCGAGUGGCGAACAGGUGAGUAAUACAUCGGAACGUGUCCUGUAGUGGGGGAUAGCCCGGCGAAAGCCGGAUUAAUACCGCAUACGCUCUACGGAGGAAAGGGGGGGAUCUUAGGACCUCCCGCUACAGGGGCGGCCGAUGGCAGAUUAGCUAGUUGGUGGGGUAAAGGCCUACCAAGGCGACGAUCUGUAGCUGGUCUGAGAGGACGACCAGCCACACUGGGACUGAGACACGGCCCAGACUCCUACGGGAGGCAGCAGUGGGGAAUUUUGGACAAUGGGGGCAACCCUGAUCCAGCAAUGCCGCGUGUGUGAAGAAGGCCUUCGGGUUGUAAAGCACUUUUGUCCGGAAAGAAAACGCCGUGGUUAAUACCCGUGGCGGAUGACGGUACCGGAAGAAUAAGCACCGGCUAACUACGUGCCAGCAGCCGCGGUAAU